AUGGCAGCUGCUGGUGCAGUGCACAUGACGACACUCAACUUGAAGAAUGGUGAUUAUGCUCAGGUCAUCGGCAACCUCCGUGAUGUGCUCGCAGAUCAUGAAUCCCCCGAAGAGGUUGCCGGGCAUCCUGUUCUCGGCGAGCAAAAACAUCCUGGAGUGCCAAAGAGGUGGAUGCACAUCAAGCUAGUGGCCGGCAGCAAGGAAACAACCCUUGCUGUUCGGGAUGACAACGUGUACCUAAUUGGUUUCCAGAGUAAAAACGGAAGGUGGUACGAGUUGGGCUUCCAAGGGGAGACCAAGCGAAUUAUCCCAGGAUCCACCUUUUUGGGGUGUGAUGUUACGUAUAGUAAGUUACUAGAAGUAAACUCUGGAUGUCAGGAACAAAAAAACAGACGAGUCAGGGAACAAAUUGUUAGUCUAAAGCUAGGGAGGACCUCCGCGAUUGAUGCCGUGGGUAUUCUCUCGGUCUAUAAUCAAGGAGAGGGUGUAGCCGUUGACACAGUCACAAGGCGGGCAUUGGUGCACCUAAUUCUUAUGUUCUGCGAGGCCACGAGGAUGAUCCCAUUCUUCAACACCGUGGUGGCUAGUUGGGACAAUGAAGAACCAACAGAAGGGCAUAUACAGAUGGUUGAUUCAGUCUACAUCUGGAAUUGGGGAAUAAUGUCGGGCGCGCUGCUAGAUUGGAGAGAAACAGAACCAAACUACACAAGAUGCACUCGAUGUCGUUCAAGUGCUUCUCAAAAAGAAAAGGGGGAAAAACAGGAAGGGAAAGCAAAAGAAGACACCAACAAUGAUGGCAACGGCGACGACACUGGAGCUGGAGAUGAUAAUGGCGGACACGAGAAGAAAGGCAAUGGCAAACUGCUGCCUCAAGGCAGUGGCACUGACGCCCAAACCAAGCGGUCGGGAUUCGGCCGGCCCCUUGUGCAAGUGUUCGGCGUGAGGGCUGACUUACAUGUAGUUGGCACCAUCGCCGUCUUCGAUGGCAAACGCGGUCAGAUCAUCUACAAGAACCAUGCUUCCAUCUCCAACGAUCCAUCUCAGUCCGAGAGUAUGAUUGAUUUGGCACUCACUGGGCCAUACAGAGGCAUCUCAGCUGACGGGAGCUUUGCCGUUCAAGUUGACGGCAUUCCCACAACAGGUGCCUCUGACGAAUCUAAGAACGUCGCGGGUGAAAUGCUCUGGGAUUGCUACUCCGACAACGUUGUGUACAACAUGGUCUUGACCCACGGUAUCCCCAGAUUCCCCACAGCCACAGGCACCACCACCAACAUCGCGGAGGUGACCUAUGCGGUGCUGAGCAACGCCGUGGAGGCCACCGUGCAGGUCGAGCUGAAGCUGAAGGGAGACAAAGAAAGCACCACUGCCUGCGUCCAUGGUGAGAUCACGGCACACUAUGAGCACUACAAAGACCAUAGCAUACUGCUCUUCAGCAGUACAGAAGACAAGGAAAUGGAACUGAAGGUUCCCGCCUGUGGCGGCUUCAUCAGUAUUCCGAUUCCACUGCGGCGAUCGGUCAUUGCAGCGCCGGUGGGCUCAUCACUUCAAAUAAAUGUGAAGAUCCAUGUUACAUGUCCUCCCAACCAUAAGAAUACCAUCUUCUUCGACGACGAUCUCGUCUUCCCCCUUGUAGAUCAGCAGACGGGGAAACUCACAGAGGAUGAUGUGGCGGUCCAAGUAAAGAUCAAAUCGUCGGACAUAUACACUCAGCCAGGACAAAAUGACACAACACUGCCCACAACACCGGACAUCCACGCCCUUCCAGAACAAUGUGACACAGCACAACUAGCGUUGGCUACGACUUCAGAUCCAAGGUCAAAAGUUCUUUCCAAGAAUGAUAAAUUUGUCAUAAAAGAAAUAGCCAGAACGCCAACUAGGGGAAUGGGCAAGCACAAAGCAAUUACUACUGCACCAGAUAGCCCUGCAAUGAGAACUAGAAGCAAGAAGAAAAGAAAGCUCUAA
rnacentral:rRNA from 1 species